AUUGAACGCUGGCGGCAGGCCUAACACAUGCAAGUCGAACGAGUGGCGGACGGGUGAGUAAUGUCUGGGAAACUGCCUGAUGGAGGGGGAUAACUACUGGAAACGGUAGCUAAUACCGCAUACCAUCAGAUGUGCCCAGAUGGGAUUAGCUUGUUGGUGGGGUAACGGCUCACCAAGGCGACGAUCCCUAGCUGGUCUGAGAGGAUGACCAGCCAAAUGGGAAUGGGGACAGGGUCCAGAUCCCAACGGGAGGAGGAGGUGGGGAAUAUGGCACAAGGGGGGCAAGCCUGAUGCAGCAAGGCGGGGUGUAUGAAGAAGGCCUUCGGGUUGUAAAGUACUUUCAGCGGGGAGACGUUACCCGCAGAAGAAGAACCGGCUAACUCCGUGCCAGCAGCCGCGGUAAUA
rnacentral:rRNA from 1 species